GCGGUUGUAGCACAACGGCAGUGCGGCUGCUUGCCAUGCAGCAGACCGGGGUUCGACUCCCCGUAACCGCU
rnacentral:tRNA from 3 species